AUGAUUUGUCUCUGAACUAAGGAUAGGGCUGCGGUGGAUUAGGUUGUUGGCGGUGUUAUGGACCACCAAGCCUUUGAUCCAUAAGGGCUCUUAGCGGAGGGGCCCUGAGAGGGAAUCUGAGACACUAUUCCCAGCCCUACGGGGUGCAGCAGUUAGGAAUAAUCUACAAUGCGCGCAAGCGUGAUAGUUUGAACCAGAGUGCGUUCCUAUUGGAAUGCUUUUGCCGAAUGUAAAAAGUUCGGCGAAUAAGGACUGGGUAAGACAGGUGCCAGCCGCCGCGGUAAUACCUGCGGUCCAAGUCGUAACCACAAUUAUUGGGUCUAAAACAUCCGUAGCUUGUCUUGUAAGUUCCUUGUGAAAUAUUAUGUCUUAAGCAUAAUGCGCGCAAGGAGUACUGCAAGACUAGAGAGUGGGAGACGUGAAGAGUAUGUCUGAAGUAGCGGUAAAAUGUUUUAAUCUCAGGCAGACUAACAAUAGCGAAGGCACUUCACGAGAACACUUCUGACAGUGAGGGAUGAAGGCUAGGGUCGCGAAAGGGAUUAGAUACCCCUGUAGUCCUAGCAGUAAACACUGCACACUAAACAUCGGUUCCUCCUCGAGAGGCAUCGGUGCUGUAGGGAAGCCGAAGAGUGUGCUACCUGGGAAGUAUGGUCGCAAGGCUGAAACUUAAAGGAAUAGGCGGGGAGAUACUACAACGGGUGACGUGUGCGGUUCAAUCAGAUUCUACACCGUGAACCUCACCAGGAGCGACAGCAGAAUGAAGGUCAGUCUGAAGGGCUUACCUGACACGCUGAGCGGAGCUACAUAGCCGACGUCAGCCUGUGCCGUGAGGUGACCUGUUAAAUCAGGUAACAGGCAAGACCCAUAUGCAUAUUUACAAUAGGACUAUAUGCAGAUUGCCCGGGUAACUGGGAUGAAAGUGUGGGCUACGUUAGGUGGCACAGCCCUAACCCCCUGGGCGACACGCGCGCGUCAAUGGCGAAUACAACGGGAUGCAACUCUGAGAGGAGAAGCGAAUCUCUUAAAGUUCGUCUCAGUCCAGAUUGAGGUUUGCAACUCAACCUCAUGACGCUGGAAUCCGUAGUAAUCGUUUGUUAGCAACGAACGGUGAAUACGUCACUGUCUCUUGCACUCACUGCCCGUCAAACCAACCGAGUUUAGUUAUGGUGAAACCUUCGGGGAGAACCUUG
rnacentral:rRNA from 1 species